CGGCGUGCUUACACAUGCAGUCGAACGAUGAACCGCUUUCGGGCGGGGAUUAGUGGCGAACGGGUGAGUAACACGUGGGCAAUCUGCCCUGCACUCUGGGACAAGCCCUGGAAACGGGGUCUAAUACCGGAUAUGACUGUCCAUCGCAUGGUGGAUGGUGUAAAGCUCCGGCGGUGCAGGAUGAGCCCGCGGCCUAUCAGCUUGUUGGUGAGGUAGUGGCUCACCAAGGCGACGACGGGUAGCCGGCCUGAGAGGGCGACCGGCCACACUGGGACUGAGACACGGCCCAGACUCCUACGGGAGGCAGCAGUGGGGAAUAUUGCACAAUGGGCGAAAGCCUGAUGCAGCGACGCCGCGUGAGGGAUGACGGCCUUCGGGUUGUAAACCUCUUUCAGCAGGGAAGAAGCGAAAGUGACGGUACCUGCAGAAGAAGCGCCGGCUAACUACGUGCCAGCAGCCGCGGUAAUACGUAGGGCGCAAGCGUUGUCCGGAAUUAUUGGGCGUAAAGAGCUCGUAGGCGGCUUGUCACGUCGGUUGUGAAAGCCCGGGGCUUAACCCCGGGUCUGCAGUCGAUACGGGCAGGCUAGAGUUCGGUAGGGGAGAUCGGAAUUCCUGGUGUAGCGGUGAAAUGCGCAGAUAUCAGGAGGAACACCGGUGGCGAAGGCGGAUCUCUGGGCCGAUACUGACGCUGAGGAGCGAAAGCGUGGGGAGCGAACAGGAUUAGAUACCCUGGUAGUCCACGCCGUAAACGGUGGGCACUAGGUGUGGGCAACAUUCCACGUUGUCCGUGCCGCAGCUA
rnacentral:rRNA from 1 species